rnacentral:rRNA from 1 species
AUGAACGCUGGCGGCGUGCCUAAUCCAUGCAAGUCGAGCGAACAGACGAGGAGCUUGCUCCUCUGACAUUAGCGGCGGACGGGUGAGUAACACGUGGAUAACCUACCUAUAAGACUGGGAUAACUUCGGGAAACCGGAGCUAAUACCGGAUAAUAUAUUGAACCGCAUGGUUCAAUAGUGAAAGACGGUUUUGCUGUCACUUAUAGAUGGAUCCGCGCCGCAUUAGCUAGUUGGUAAGGUAACGGCUUACCAAGGCAACGAUGCGUAGCCGACCUGAGAGGGUGAUCGGCCACACUGGAACUGAGACACGGUCCAGACUCCUACGGGAGGCAGCAGUAGGGAAUCUUCCGCAAUGGGCGAAAGCUUGACGGAGCAACGCCGCGUGAGUGAUGAAGGUCUUCGGACCGUAAAACUCUGUUAUUAGGGAAGAACAAAUGUGUAAGUAACUAUGCACGUCUUGACGGUACCUAAUCAGAAAGCCACGGCUAACUACGUG